rnacentral:rRNA from 1 species
UCGCCUGUUUUCCAAAAACAUCGCCUCUUGAUUAAACAUAAGAGGUCCAGCCUGCCCAGUGACAUAGUUUAACGGCCGCGGUACCCUAACCGUGCGAAGGUAGCAUAAUCACUUGUUCUUUAAAUAGGGACUCGUAUCAACGGCAUCACGAGGGCUAUACUGUCUCCUUUCUCCAAUCAAUGAAACUGAUCUCCCCGUGAAGAAGCGGGGAUUAACCUAUAAGACGAGAAGACCCCAUGGAGCUUCAAACUCAACAUAUACCUCUACGCACUUAAACCACUUUAGCCCAAGAGACCUCUAUGUUAGUUUUGGGUUGGGGGGACCGCGGAGUAAAAAUUAACCUCCACGACAAACGGGCUUUAUGCCCUUAUCCACGAACCACAGCUCUAAGAAUCAAUAAACUGAUGUUUAUGACCCGAUUAUUCGAUCAACGAACCAAGUUACCCUGGGGAUAACAGCGCAAUCUACUUCAAGAGCCCCUAUCGACAAGUAGGUUUACGACCUCGAUGUUGGAUCAGGGUAUCCUAGUGGUGCAGCCGCUACUAAUGGUUCGUUUGUUCAACGAUUAAAACCCUACGUGAUCUGAUUCCAGACCGGA